CCAGACGUUGAUCUAGCGUCGUUCAGGUUGGGUUUGAAGAAUCGUCCGGACGACAACUUUUCGCCGCACUCGAGACUGCGGCGAAUUUCGCCCGACAUGCGCAGAAGAAACUAGCUAUAGCUACGCGCGCUAUAAGCUCACAUGACAGAUUUGUCAUAAGUGAUAUAAGGUUAUUAUAUUUAUUAUUAAGAUGAUUUAUUUAGUAAGACGAGGAGGACGAAGAAUCAGGACAGUGCCACUAUAUAAAAGAAGAAAAACAAGGAUUUUUAGUUGAAUUGGUAAAAAGUAUAAUGCAAUAUUGUAUAGCAGAAAGUGCUAUUAUGUUGUAUGAAACGUUUUUCUUCAUGGAUGUCGAAUCUGAUGAUAAAUAUUCUGAAGAAGAGGAGCUAAUGGAAUUAAUACAUUCAGAUAUUGUCAAACCGAAUAAAUUCCAAAAAAAAGUUCCAUCUCAAAUAAAAUAUUUUAUUGAGCAUACAAUGUUAAAUAGUACUGCAAAGGAAUUUCAAUCACAUUUUAGAAUAACAAGACAGACAUUUGAGUACUUAUAUGUUACGAUCUCACCACACUUGCAAAGUUCUAGUGGUCGACGAACAAUAGAUACACAGAAGCAAAUUCUUGCUGUUCUUUGGAUACUAGCCACUCCUGAUAGUUAUAAGUUAGUAUAGGAUAGAUCUAUUGGUUCAAGAUUUGAUAUGGGCAAGCCUCUUUGUUUGUUUUGUCAGAGUAAUAAAAGCUCUCAAUAAAAUUGCUCCUAAAAUGAUAGUUUGGCCAAAGGGAGAAGAAGCUAUAAAAGUUGAAAAGGGAUUUUCUAAAUCGGCUGGGAUCAGAGGAGUUGUAAGUGCCAUCGAUGGAACUUAUGUUCCUAUAAAAGCACCAAAAAAAGAUGCUGAAGCAUUAAUAGAAAAUAUUAAUAUUAAUAGAAAAUGUUUUCACGGUAUUACGUUGCAAGGUAUUUGUGAUGAUCAAAUGAAGUUCACAGAUUGUUUUACUGGUUAUCCCAGUUCUGUCUCUGACGUGCGAAUUUUAAAAAAUUCUAUUAUUUAUGCAGAGUUUAUUAAUAAUCCAAAUGCAUAUUUUGGAGAAAAUAAUUUUGGCGAUAAAGCUUAUCCAAAUAAAAAAUGGUGUAUAUCACCUUACAUAGAUCGAGGUCGUUUAACAAGACGGCAAAAGAAUUUUAAUACAGCUCAUGCAAAAACCCGCCAAGUCAUUGAAAGUCUUUCGCAUUACUAUUUGGUCGAUUUCGUCGCCUGAAAUAUCUAGAUAUGAACAGAAUAGACCUGAUUCCGGCCACAAUAAUAGCGUGUUGUGUUUUACAUAACAUAUGCCUAAAGGAUCAAGAUGAUUUAAUGAAUAUAUAUGAAGAAGAAGGACGUGACUUUGUUAUAAAUGACACAGUUGAAAACAUUGAAAUAAAUUCUUCUGCAGAACAACUUACUCACGAAGGGAUGGUUUUAUGAGAUAUGCUAGCACUGAAUUUUUAAAAGCAUCUUUUAAAGAAGUAAAUAUACAUAUUAUUUAUAUAUGUAUAUAUUUAUAUUUUAUCAAUUGUAUUUGUUAUGAUUGUAGCAUUUUGCACAUAAAUGUUAAUAAAUAAAAGAAUUCAACAUUUUUUUUUAAUAAUGAAUAAAAACAAAUAUUUUAUAUAAUUUCACUACAUGCUACACAC